AAAGGGCCAAAAUCACCAGGCACAAAAGGAUCUGCAGUCCAAAACCUGAACUGAAAACAACGGAAAUGGAUUUUUCACAGCCUGAACUUAAGUUAACCAUGUUAGGAGAAUUAAAAAAAACCAACACAAAUAGAUAUCUUAAAUGGAACUUACAAAAUACACUCUUCAGAAAAAUAUCUGGUCUAGCAGGUAAAGAAGUAGCUGUGUGAUCAGGUCAACUAAAGGUAUUCUACAUUUAUGUGAUCCUUGUACAUUUUAAUACCAAAAAUAAAUCAAGACUCUAAAGAAACUAGUAUAGCUUGAAACACAGUCUUGACUGAAGGGGGAAAAAACUACAUGGGCCAGACACUAAGGAAAGUAUAUACUACCCCCAAAAUAUCAACCCAAACAUUAUUUGAAAUUUGGCCAUUUAUUUCCCCAUAUUACCCAAGAAACGCUGAGCGAGGAGUGCAGGGGAUGCAAGAGGCUCUGCCCUCCCAGAGGAUGGGAAAAGUUGGUGAGGAGGAAAGGGGAGCACAUUCACUUCUUUCCGAAGACUGAUAAUUGACUCCAGCCUUAAGCUGUUCUGCAAAACUAAACCAGGUAAAAAAAAAAGAUUUACAAUGGAAACACCGAUCAUCUUUAUUGUAACGGCAACAGUAGUUUCAUUAUAGUAAAGAAUGUUAAGAGAACUUAAAUUUUUAUAAGCCAAGGUAAAGUAAUUUACCAGCCUCAAUAAAAUCCAUGGCUAUGAAUCACACAAGACAAUCACUUGGCUGUUAUAUUAAUGUUCCAUUCUGUGGUAUAGGCUCCACACUGUGCUCAGUAUCUUCGGGCUCCCUCUGUCAUUCAGCCAAGUGUCCUUCGUGGUCAUAUUAGUGUAUCACAUCUAAAAGCUCUCUGAAGUCCAAACAGGAUUAAAAAUCUGGUAGCAUGUGCACCAGAAAUCCAACUAGUUAGCUGCCUUAUGUUACCUUCAAGAGGCUGGUUACAAAAUAUGUACUUCAGUGACAAAAAAAAAAAGAGAUGCAAAGCUUAUCAGCUGUAAGGUAACUGUGAGCAACAUACAAAAGGACAAAGAAUCUAAGAAAAAAAAGAAAAAUGGCAGGUCCAGUUUUUAAUAUUUCUACCAAGAAACAUGGCAGCAAUCUCUGCAUCAGGGUUUGAAAACCAAGGCUUGUGUAUUUCAAUUAAGUUUAAAAAAGGAUAUGGCUGCUUUGAUAAAAACACAUUAAAAUGCCACUACACACACCUCAAGUAUCUCGCGUUUAGAGGGACAUCCUGCUUUUGUUAUAAAACUAUAGCCCUGCUACACUGUUUUCAAACUUCAUUUCCUCUCAGCUUCAUCCUUUAAUGUUGUUCCCUACUCCACGCUUUUUGGGCUUAGGGAACAGAACGACAACCAACAGAGGCAGACAUGUCAGUGUGGGAGCAGAACGAGUAACUCCUCCCAUACUGCAGGAUGGGAGGAUGAAGAAAUAGAAGUGGUACUGGGGUGAUGUUCACUAUCGAUGGAAGUCUACUGUCCAACACUGUAGCUGGAGAGGCCUAGACAUGAUUACACAGCCUUUCUGAGGACAGAUGGAGGGAGAGAAGAGAAGCACUUCAGCGUGACUCAUGGGAUCCGAGACUGACCAGAGCAUUACAGGAAUCCUUUGCUUCACAUUUAUAAAAGGACAUCCCUCACCCCAAAAGGAAAAAAAAAAAAUCUACUUCUAUACUGUCCAUCAUUUUUUUUCCCUUGAAACUUUAAAGAAAAUUUCCACAAUGUCAGAUACAAACCAGAGUUUUAAAACUUGUUUUCAAUUUCUCUUCCCUAUUCUGCCCAUCUAUAGCCAACCUUGGAAGAAGAACAGAAUUAAUGGACGUGAGCAGCUCCUAGGUUCUGCGUCUGAAAUAGUAUAGAAUGAACUGAGAUUUGCCUAAGCAGAAUAGUAUUCUAUCCAGGAAAGAUGAAAGAUCUUGCAUUCCUAACUGGAGGAUUUUUCUAGAUAAAAGAUAGUGGACCCCCUAUAAGUCUCUUGAUUGCUUUCCAUUAAAAAGUUGCAUGAAUCCAAGAAACACAGGUUUCCUCCCCAUGUUUCCUCUUCUGCAGUUUAUAUAUAUAUAAUUUUUUUUUCUGAGAGAAGGUACUUCUAUUGAGAAAAGUCUAUUAAAGCAUGGUUGUUUUUCUUUUUUUUUAAACCACGUAUUCAAAUACAGAAUAAUAGUUUUGAAGAACUCUUACCAGCACUGGGAAAUCUAUUCUACUCAAUGAUUCGUAAGUGUGGUUUCCAUGUAUCAGUCCCAAACCUUAUUGCUUCACAACUGCAGUAUCCCUUGAAAAAAAUAUAUAUUUGAAUGGUCUGUUAAUUUGUCUCAAAUGGCUUUUGGAUUUGGUGGGGGAGGGAGAACGGAAUGGCCAACAGAGAACAGUGACUUCAAAAUAUUACUGUAUGAGGGUUUCCUCUUAUUAAAAAAAGGAUACACUGUAUUAAACAGCUGAAAGUAAAGACAGCAUUCAAAGCCCAUGAGUCAAGCCACAGCCAAAACCGUGUUCUACCCCUAAGUAUGUUUUCUUUUUCCUUUUUUCUCUUUUUUUUUUUUUAAACAAAGAUUUCCUCAACUGCCAUUUAAUCUUCACCAGAGGGUGCUUCCUCUUCAGAUCCCUCAUCCCCUGACUUCUCUGGCGGAGGGCUGGCUGAUUUUUUCUUUUCUGGAGGACUUUCAGGCUCUUCAUCCUCUUCUUUGGGGGAUGGGGUCUUUUCUUUUGUUGUCUUGGAAGCUGUGGGGCGACCUGCCUUCCCUUUGCCUUUCACUGGACUGGGAGUCACUGUAGCCUUUAGCCUGGGCUUUGGCAUCUUCUUUUCUUUCCUCUCUGGCUUGGACUUCUUGGAGGCCUUUUUAUUUUUCUUUUUUGAACUGCCAUAGUCACUGUCAUCAUCAUCUUCCAUAAGAAAAUCUUCAUCACUUCCUGAAUUCUCUUGGAACUGUGCCUCAUCAUCCUCUUGUUCUUCCUCCUCGCUUCCCACAUCAUCCAUAAGCAUCUCUCGUUGUUUGGAAGCUGCUUUGGAUGCUGCCUGUCUCUGUUGACGCACGUUUUUGUGGUCUUCUUUUUCGUCCUCACUGUCCUCUGCAGGCCUUUUCCUGGAUUUAGAGGCUCUCUUAUUCUUAUCUGGUUUGGCCUUCUUUCCUUUUUUGCUUUUUUGAGAACUCUCAUAGUCACUGUCAGCUUUGCCAUCAUCUGCUCCUAAGUCAUCAUCUUCACUGCCAAAAUCUUCAUCUGCUGAGUGAGAAUCAUCUUUCUUAGUCUUCACAUCUUUUUCCUCUGAAUCCUCAAAUCAUUCCUCUUAGAAGAUACAGCUCACAGCUCCCC
rnacentral:lncRNA from 1 species